rnacentral:rRNA from 1 species
UGGGGAAUAUUGCACAAUGGGCGCAAGCUUGAUGCAGCCAUGCCGCGUGUAUGAAGAAGGCCUUCGGGUUGUAAAGUACUUUCAGCGGGGAGGAAGGCGAUAAGGUUAAUAACCUUGUCGAUUGACGUUACCCGCAGAAGAAGCACCGGCUAACUCCGUGCCAGCAGCCGCGGUAAUACGGAGGGUGCAAGCGUUAAUCGGAAUUACUGGGCGUAAAGCGCACGCAGGCGGUCUGUCAAGUCGGAUGUGAAAUCCCCGGGCUCAACCUGGGAACUGCAUUCGAAACUGGCAGGCUAGAGUCUUGUAGAGGGGGGUAGAAUUCCAGGUGUAGCGGUGAAAUGCGUAGAGAUCUGGAGGAAUACCGGUGGCGAAGGCGGCCCCCUGGACAAAGACUGACGCUCAGGUGCGAAAGCGUGGGGAGCAAACA